rnacentral:rRNA from 1 species
AAAGGGAGCGUAGGCGGCUGAUUAAGUCAGCGGUGAAAGGUAGCAGCUUAACUGUUUUACAUGCCGUUGAUACUGGUUAGCUUGAGUUGACAGAAGGCAGAUAGAAUUCCUGGUGUAGCGGUGAAAUGCUUAGAUACCAGGAGGAAUACCGAUUGCGAAGGCAGUCUGCUGCAGUCACACUGACGCUGAGGCUCGAAGGUGCGGGGAUCAAACAGGAUUAGAUACCUGGU